rnacentral:rRNA from 1 species
GAUGAACGCUAGCUACAGGCUUAACACAUGCAAGUCGAGGGGUAACGAGAGGAAAGCUUGCUUUCCUUGUCGACGACCGGCGCACGGGUGAGUAACGCGUAUCCAACCUGCCCCCAACUAAGGAAUAACCUUGCGAAAGUAAGACUAAUACCUUAUAAUUUCCUCAGAUGUCAUCUGACGAGGAAUAAAGAUUUAUCGGUUGUGGAUGAGGAUGCGUCUGAUUAGCUUGUUGGCGGGGUAACGGCCCACCAAGGCAACGAUCAGUAGGGGUUCUGAGAGGAAGGUCCCCCACAUUGGAACUGAGACACGGUCCAAACUCCUACGGGAGGCAGCAGUGAGGAAUAUUGGUCAAUGGGCGGAAGCCUGAACCAGCCAAGUAGCGUGCAGGAUGACGGCCCUAUGGGUUGUAAACUGCUUUUAUACAGGAAUAAAGUUAGCCACGUGUGGUUAUUUGUAGGUACCGUAUGAAUAAGGACCGGCUAAUUCCGUGCCAGCCGCCGCCGUAA